GGGACAGAGACUUUCUUGUCUUCAAUUGAUUUGAUCAGACAGGCCCAAUCAUCAAUGAUGUGAGAACAUUUUCCAGCAAAUUUUUUUGCAUCUUUCAGCAAAUCUUGAUGUAUUUUACUGGAUAGGAUAUUAAGGCUCUUAGAUGUAGAGAACAGCAGAUGAGCAAGCCUCAUUUGAUUUCUAAAUUCAUCCCAAUCAGAUUUAUUCUCCGGGGGUUCUGUCCAAACAUGUACUGAAGGAGCUCGAAACUCAAAGCUCAUGACUUGACUAAUAGGUUUAUUACCAUCGAAACUUAAAUAAAUGUUUACCAGUCCAGGGGUUUGAGGAGAAACUAUGCAACGAUAUACCCCAGGUUGCAGAACUUCUGCAGGAAAACAAGCAUCUCCACAAACACAACGCAAGCUAGAACUUUCUAGAUGUGAUUGUUCUCCAUGAAAUUGCCCAAUGACACAGAUCUUUGUUUCUUCAGUUGAAGGAGCCCACGCAGGCAAUAUUUCUGUUAUGUUGAAUAUCUGCUCCCUUGCAUAUGAUUGACCUGUUGACACUGAAGAUUCGGGAGUUGGAUCGUCUAUGGAUUCUGGAGAAUCCUUGAUAAGGUAGUUCAUCCACCUUCCAAAGCUAUCCUGAGUUUGAAGUCUAUCCUGGUUCAGACUAUCCAAGGAAUCGCCUGUGCUCACUGUCAUUACUCCGGACUCAUUCUUCUCAAAACUUGAAGUCAUUUGACCAUCCACUGUCUGGAAGGUGAUCUCAUUUGAAUUGUUGAAUGUAGAAAUUCUCUCAAGAGAAGAG
rnacentral:misc_RNA from 1 species